rnacentral:rRNA from 1 species
CCUACGGGGGGCUGCAGUAGGGAAUCUUCCGCAAUGGACGCAAGUCUGACGGAGCAACGCCGCGUGAGUGACGAAGGUUUUCGGAUCGUAAAACUCUGUUGUGAGGGAAGAACAAGUACCAACUAACUACUGGUACCGUGACGGUACCUCACCAGAAAGCCACGGCUAACUACGUGCCAGCAGCCGCGGUAAUACGUAGGUGGCAAGCGUUGUCCGGAAUUAUUGGGCGUAAAGCGCGCGCAGGCGGUCCUUUAAGUCUGAUGUGAAAGCCCACGGCUCAACCGUGGAGGGUCAUUGGAAACUGGAGGACUUGAGUGCAGAAGAGGAAAGUGGAAUUCCACGUGUAGCGGUGAAAUGCGUAGAGAUGUGGAGGAACACCAGUGGCGAAGGCGACUUUCUGGUCUGUAACUGACG